AUGUAGAGAUAGCUUUUUAGAAAAAAUGGUGAAAAAUGCUGGUUGGUUGGUGAAUUUAGAGCAAUGCGAGAAAAAAUCUUCCCUUCUCUACGAAAAUAUCAAUGCCACUUGCUUAUCUAAUGGCUAUAUGCAUAACAAAGUGGCCUUACUACAGUAAAAAUUGAUGCGCCGCAUGUUCUAAGAAAAUGCUGCUGCAAAAUUGCUAUAAUUUAAUAUAUUAUACAAAUGGCUAUGAUAAUACAUGAUUCAUUGACAUUUUCGUAGGGAGGUUAUGAUUUUCUGCGAAUACCUCUAUAUUUCACCCUCUAACCAGCACUUUACGCCAUUUUCUUUCUAAACAGCGAAAUUCACACAUUUAGCUCCUCUUUGUCUGAUGAUUUAAUGGUAUCUGAACAUAUUUCUAUAAAAUACUGGCGUCAUUAACUAAAAGCGAGUUUUUCAAUCCAUCUACAAAACGGUUUGAUAUCUACAAACAGAAAAUGUUUAAGUAGGUCCAUCAGCAUUUUCUAGUGUCCGAAAAGCUCUGUUUGUUUCUUUAUAUGUAAUUUUUGAAUUAUUUAUUGCAAGGAAUGGAGCUAAAUCCAAAAUCCAACAAAAUAUCGGACUACAACGUAACCUGUGUGUGAUAUUUAAAAAAAAAUUGAGGUUUAAUUAUCAUAAUUAUUAUUCUUGCACAUCAAGCUGACGUCAAUUUGUAAAGUAUGAUUGAUCAACUACAGUAUGUUCAGGAUUUCAGUUGCUGGAAAUGUUUAUCGAAUUUUUGAAGAAUACCCGCUGAAAUCAACUGGGAGGUGGUUACUAUUCUCACGGGAACGAAAUUAAAUGCAUAACCUCUAACUUAGGACCGAGGAUGGGUCGUCUGGCAAGACUAAGAAGAUCUUAGUAGCGACAGCAUAAACGUCAUUUUUUAGAAAUUUGUCACAAUGUCAAACUGCAGCUUGCGAACGUUCAUCGAUUCGAAGAAUUAUUGGCGAUUUUACAAUUCAAAAUAUUACUAUCGAUUGCAAGUAAAAUUUUGAAUGGUUGCAUUGUUUUUUAUGUUGAUACUGUUUAAAAAAAUUGUUCGGUAUAGUGCGCGAUUCAGUGCCGUUAUGGACUCAUCCGAGUGUUCAACAUUAUACGAAAAUCUUAUGGGUUUCAAAUCAAAAUACAAAAGAAAUUUUUCUAUUUUUUACGUAUGCAUCAUAAUGUUAAUUAGCUAUGAAAUUAGAGACUGGGCUUUUAUAUUUUUUAAAACUGUUUGCCAGUCCUUUUUUCCUUCGCUGUGCUUUUGGUUUACUGUUAAUAGAUAAAUAUGAAGUGCAAAAAAUAAACCCAUAUUAUUAUUAUUAUUAUUAUUAUUAUAACAAGAAUCCUUAUAAUUGUUUUUGGUGUAAAAAUAUGCCCUUAACUUAUCAGUGCCUGGAGUAGACCCAAUUAAAAUUAUAUGUUUUGCUUUUAAUUUUUUUUUGGCUUCUACAAAAC